GUGGACCCAGAAUCGGGGUUUUGAGGGCGAGAUGUGUUUGUUUUAUCCAACUGGCCCACAAAGUCCCGCUUUUGGGGUCA
rnacentral:pre_miRNA from 1 species